GACGAACGCUGGCGGCGUGCCUAAUACAUGCAGGUAGAACGCACAGUUUAUACCGUAGCUUGCUACACCAUAGACUGUGAGUUGCGAACGGGUGAGUAACGCGUAGGUAACCUGCCUGGUAGCGGGGGAUAACUAUUGGAAACGAUAGCUAAUACCGCAUAAUAUUAAUUAUUGCAUGAUAAUUAAUUGAAAGGUGCAAUUGCACCACUACCAGAUGGACCUGCGUUGUAUUAGCUAGUAGGUGAGGUAACGGCUCACCUAGGCGACGAUACAUAGCCGACCUGAGAGGGUGAUCGGCCACACUGGGACUGAGACACGGCCCAGACUCCUACGGGAGGCAGCAGUAGGGAAUCUUCGGCAAUGGACGAAAGUCUGACCGAGCAACGCCGCGUGAGUGAAGAAGGUUUUCGGAUCGUAAAGCUCUGUUGUAAGAGAAGAACGGGUGUGAGAGUGGAAAGUUCACACUGUGACGGUAUCUUACCAGAAAGAGACGGCUAACUACGUG
rnacentral:rRNA from 1 species